GACGAACGCUGGCGGCGCGCCUAACACAUGCAAGUCGAACGAGCGAGAGGAGGUUUACUUUCUCAAGCGAGUGGCGAACGGGUGAGUAACGCGUGAGGAACCUGCCUCAAAGAGGGGGACAACAGUUGGAAACGACUGCUAAUACCGCAUAAGCCCACGACCCGGCAUCGGGUAGAGGGAAAAGGAGCAAUCCGCUUUGAGAUGGCCUCGCGUCCGAUUAGCUAGUUGGUGAGGUAAUGGCCCACCAAGGCGACGAUCGGUAGCCGGACUGAGAGGUUGAACGGCCACAUUGGGACUGAGACACGGCCCAGACUCCUACGGGAGGCAGCAGUGGGGAAUAUUGCACAAUGGGGGAAACCCUGAUGCAGCGACGCCGCGUGGAGGAAGAAGGUCUUCGGAUUGUGAACUCCUGUUGUUGAGGAAGAUAAUGACGGUACUCAACAAGGAAGUGACGGCUAACUACGUG
rnacentral:rRNA from 1 species